GACAGAGGUGCCGAGCGUUAGGCGGAAUCACUGGGCUUAAAGCGUGUGUAGGCGGAUCUGUAAGUACCUUGUGAAAUCCCACGGCUCAACCGUGGAACUGCUUGGUAUACUGCGGGUCUUGAGCCACCUAGGGGCAAGUGGAACAAACGGUGGAGCGGUGAAAUGCGUAGAUAUCGUUUGGAACGCCAAUGGUGAAAACAACUUGCUGGGGGUGUGCUGACGCUGAGACACGAAAGCCAGGGGAGCAAACGGGG
rnacentral:rRNA from 1 species